rnacentral:rRNA from 1 species
CUAAAACGUCCGUAGCCGGUUUGGUACAUUCGUGGGUAAAUCAACCAGCUUAACUGGUUGAAUUCUGCGAGGACUGCCAGACUUGGGACCGGGAGAGGUGUGGGGUACUCUCAGGGUAGGGGUAAAAUCCUGUCAUCCUGAGAGGACCACCUGUUGCGAAGGCGCCACACUAGAACGGAUCCGACGGUCAGGGACGAAGCCUAGGGGCACGAACCGGAUUAGAUACCCGGGUAGUCCUAGGUGUAAACGCUGUGGACUUGGUGUUGGGGAUCCUCCGAGGACUCCCAGUGCCGAAGCGAAGGUGUUAAGUCCACUGCCUGGGAAGUACGGUCGCAAGGCUGAAACUUAAAGGAAUUGGCGGGGGAGCACA